rnacentral:rRNA from 1 species
UACGUAGGGUGCGAGCGUUAAUCGGAAUUACUGGGCGUAAAGCGUGCGCAGGCGGUUUUGUAAGCCAGGUGUGAAAUCCCCGGGCUCAACCUGGGAAUGGCAUUUGGGACUGCAAGGCUGGAGUGCGGCAGAGGAGACUGGAAUUCCUGGUGUAGCAGUGAAAUGCGUAGAUAUCAGGAGGAACACCGAUGGCGAAGGCAGCCCCCUGGGUCAAGACUGACGCUCAUGCACGAAAGCGUGGGGAGCAAACAGG